rnacentral:lncRNA from 1 species
CUCUGCGCCGCGCUCGGGGGGCCUGUUUAUUACCGGGGAGGCUCUGGUUGGAAGAAGAUGCCUCCCUGGGUGGGGCUGAGGUUGCUCCCGUGUCUUCCAGAUGCUGGGUCCUCGUUCUGACAUCUCAGCCCCGGAGGACAGUUCUCCUCUUUCCGCCCCAUUACUUCUCGUACAAACGCGAACACCGUGAGCGUUCCUGCCUGAGCGCCAAGCCCAGCACCCGCAGGCACACGCGCACCGCUCCCUGAGUGCAACCAGGCCGCUGCCAGCCCCCUUCUCUGCCCUCCCUCGCCCACUCACCGCAGCAGAUUUUUCUGACUCUUCUCUGUGCUGGAUUCUCCUUCUGACAAACAGAAAUUAUAGACUCAGAGAGCGUCCUAGAUUUGGGAAGGGCCUUUGGAAGUCACCGAGGCCAGCGCUGGCGCUUACACGCAGGAGAGCGGAUGCCCAGGGCUCACGUGGGACCUGCUGGGGCACACAGCACAGCAGACACAGAGUCAGCCAUGGAAGAGAAGCAGCCUGACCCCAGGUCUACACUCCAUUCGAAUCGGUUCACAUCGUGGUCCUAAAAACACGGCCCGGAGCAGACGGAGUGACACAGAGUCCCUGGUUUCACUUUCCUGUGCGGGUGAAGUGGCCUCCAGGAGCCGUUCAGAGCAGGCAGCCACCGUCAUGUCCAGCUGCGGGCAGUGGGAGCCCCACGGGUUGGAAUCUGCCACUUUGCCUCACGUGCAGACCAUACUGGGACGCCAUGGGUGGUCCACGUGGCUUUGGACAAGAGCAAUCCCCGACUGCAUCCCCACUGCUGCUUCAGGGAUGGGAUCGGUGAGUUGGGCUCAGGACUCAAAGUCAAAACUUUAAGGACCCUUACUUAUUUUUAUGUUGCAUUUGAACCUGAAGAGGUGUGAGCUUGGAGCUUCUGGGGCCACCUUGCACAUGUAGAGCCUAAGGGUGGAGCAAACACGGAGAAGGACAAAACUAGAGACAGGGUGAGACUGGGUUCCGAUGACAUCAUCUGAGCUCCUGGAUCCAGCUAUGCCUGAAGCAGGAACAUCCUUGACUUUUCAACCAUCAUCUGAGCCAAAGCAUUCCUCCUUCCCUUCCUGCCUUCCAUUCUUUCCUUCCUUCCUACCUUCGUGUGUGUGUCACAAAAGCCUGUCACAGCAGAUGGAGUCCUAAUUUAUUCAUCUGGUAAGCACACCAUUGUCUCCAUGACCUACACGGGCUUGGGUGCGGCUCCAGUCAGACCUCCCUCCUUGGGCCAAGCAUUUCCCAGCCAUGAUUGGGAGUCCAGGGCUCCACUCCAACGCCUCCACCUUGCCCCUCUUAUUUUGUCUGGGUGGGCACGGAAGAAAGGACAGGUCUGUGCCAAGUGCAACAUUGUGAGCAGAAUGUUGGCUCAGUGGAAGGAGGGUGUUUGUUUGGUUGUUUGUUUUGGGUUUUGUUUAUAAUAUAACUUAUUGUCAAAUUGGUUUCCAUACAACACCCAG